UGCAAUCAACCCCGAGAGGUUCCGGGAGGA
rnacentral:piRNA from 1 species